rnacentral:rRNA from 1 species
GACGAACGCUGGCGGCGCGUCUAAGACAUGCAAGUCGUGCGAUUAAAGCUCCCUUCGGGGAGUGUAUAAAGCGGCGGACGGGUGAGUAACACGUAGCUAACCUGCCCUCCGGACCGGGAUAACGGUGCGAAAGCGCCGCUAAUACCGGAUACGCCGUCCGGUCUAUCUGACUGGACGUGAAAGCGGGCUUUGUCCGCACCGGAGGAGGGGGCUGCGGCCUAUUAGUUUGAUGGUGAGGUAACGGCUCACCAUGGCAACAAUGGGUAGCUGAUUUGAGAGGAUGAUCAGCCACACUGGGACUGAGACACGGCCCAGACUCCUNACGGGAGGCAGCAGUUAAGAAUCUUGCACAAUGGGCGAAAGCCUGAUGCAGCGACGCCGCGUGAGCGAUGAAGGCCUUCGGGUUGUAAAGCUCUUUUCUGGGGGAAGAAACCGGCGAUUAAUAGUCGCUAUCUGACGUACCCCAGAAUAAGCCUCGCUAACU